GAAGAAUGUGGAAUCCUUAUGCUUGCGAG
rnacentral:piRNA from 1 species